CGUCACGCGGGAGGUGAAAUCUUCCCCAUCCCUUCUUAGCUAAGAACCCCACACUCCUCAAUUUUCUCAAGUAUUGCCAAAACGCUUUCCUUUCCCGAAGUCCCCAGAACCACCGCGCUGCUUCUUUAUUCUCCUUAGCAACCGGUUCUCAUCAAAUAAUUACCAUCUCGGAAUACUACUGUGUUUCUUAGAUUUUCUAUAUCAAAUGAUUUCUCAGAUUUUUCAAACAUUUCUAUAUCUCUCGCCAAUUUCAUGUUACCAUAAUCGCUUAUCAGAGUACCAGUCACCUCCUCCUCCUCCUGUAGUAGCUGUCAUCUCACCACCACCACCAUGCCAUUCGAUUUUCUGAGAAUAGUCGAAGAAUCAAAUAUUGUGAAGGCUACAAAAUUAUCAGAGGAUGCAUAUGUUCAGGACAUGUAUCUGAAGGGGACCAAAUAUUACUUUUCUAUAUAGAGGUAUUCCUUAUCCUUGGGAAAAGAUUUAUGCAUAGAAUUUUUUGGUCAAACAUUAGAGAUUUGUUAAGGAUUUCCAAUUUAGUGGGCUUUCAUUGAUUUAUUGACUUCAUAAAUUCUUUUAACUGAUCUAAGUACAAUUUUGUAGAAAAUUGCAAACUAUGGAAGAAGCACCUUUUAAGUUCUUUAAGCUAUAGCUAGGUGAGUUAGUGGCUUUCCCUCAGUCAUCAAAAAAGGUAACGAGGCAUGUCAAAACUUGAAACUCUAGUUAAUUAUGUCAGCAUCACUCAAACCUCUAGCGUUUGCCACCUUCCUCUUCAUGAGGCAAAUCAUAUAGAAUCUUCCCUCUUUCUAUCUUUCUAUGUCUACAAAUUUGUGCAUAGAUGGUACGCAUGAACCUGUCUUUGAUUGAACUGCGCAAUUAGGAUUUGCUUAAUGCAAAUUUUGCUGUUUGUAUACAGCUAACAUUUAAUUGGUUUUCUAAGGUUGUAACUUUGCACAUUGAAGUAGUAUUAUUUGUGCUCUAGGCCCAAAUUUAGUCAUUUUCUUGCUGGUUCUUUUUAUUUGAAGAUGAGGAGCAGAGUUAUCAAUUUAUUCACUUGAUUGAUUUGCACUGUUAAAUGGUGUAUGUUUCAUUUUCUUUUUGUUGGGUUAAGAGCUGUAGGGUGGAAAUUUAAGUUUGUGUAAACAAACUUUGACAUAGAUGAGGAGUAAUAGUAGUAAGCAAAGACUAACAAGGGAUCAAAGGAUAUAGCACUGUUAAGGCCAAGCAAGGUACUGUGGGUUUGCAUUUUUUAUUCUUUGAAUCAUUGCUAAUUCCAUAGUGCCUAGCGCUGAUUGAUUGCUUUGGUGAAAAUUGUUCGUGUACUUGAGCUUAGUUUCCAUCCUGGAAAUUGUGUUUUUCUGGGUGCACAUAGUAAGAAGAGAAUGGGGGAAAAAUACACGUAGUUUCCAAGUGCUCCGAUAACAAUUACAAUGCAGUAGUAAAGGUUACUUGGCCACAAGGAAAGUAAACACAUUGUAACAAUUGAACUAUUAAGUUGUACUUUUCUGCAGUAGAAUAACAAGUUUUGUUCAUUCCUACUUCUUUUAUAUUUAAAAAAAUGUUAGAGGGGGAAGGUUGUUCAUGCAUAUUAGUUUACGAUCUUGAAAGAAUUCUUGUGAGUAUUGAAUUCUUUAUAGUGGUUUUCCCUUAUAUUUAGUUUGAUGUUAGAUUAUGUUUUAGAUACAUUUGUAUUUGGAGGAUAAUAGUGGGGUGAAUUUCAACUGACUAUCCUCAUAAAUUAAGUAGUCUCUCCUUAAAUUUGUUUCUUGAGAGAGGAGAGACUACCGGAUGGUUCCCUUAAUUUGCAAUAGCCAAAUUAAGUAAAUAGCCUCAACUGCAAAAGCACAAAGCACGAAGUUGAAGCAUCUUUGUCACAAAGGAAGUCAUCAUGUGAGCCUAAUCUGCUCCUUUGCCAUCAAAGCAUAAAUCAUUACUUGGUUGAAAGUUUAUGUAAUUAACAAGUAAUUCAAACAUGAUAAAACUUGAAACAUUAAGAUUUGACAAUUCCAUUGGAUUGUGUAUUUUCUUCUGAACCUGGACUCAUGCAAAUGCUUCAUUUAAAUUCAAAGCUUUGUAUUUAACAACCUCAUGAGUGUGAAAUUGUCUACUAAAUCAUUCUUUCUGCUGUUUAUGCACUUCAUAGGAAGGUAACUAUAAUAUCUGCAGAAUUGCCACCUCAUGUAAAUUGGCCUGUCAUAUUAAUUUUCUUUACCAAUUAAUAUCCAUUUGUGUCAGGCAAUUUUAUUCUGACAUUUUGUUGGUUGUUUUGUGUUUUAAAGAUACAUUUAUCCUUAGGUUAAUGAUAUUUUAGGAAUUCAUCACACAAUUAUGAGAAAUGCAUUAAGAAUGCUUUUUGCUCUGGAUGAGAAGAUGAGCAGGUAUGAACUGCUGGAUGAGAGCCAAAACAAGAUCGAUUAUGACUUUUGAGAGCUCGCUCGACCAUCAUCUUUAAACACUCCUAUUUAAGAUUAAAUGGCAAAUUCAAUCCACCAUUCCAAAGUGCUCAUUAGGAAAAUGCAUAUUAGGUGUGAAUGAUAUUUGAUCUUAGUAAAACAUCAUAGGCUGAAUUGGCUAUUAAUAGAUUCUUCAGUCUUUAGUUAACUCUGAUAAUCUUUCCUUUUGGCUAUAUGCUAGACAUUCCAAGUGCGGCUUUCAAUUCAAUCUAGUUCUACUUAUAUCAGUGAAACGAAUGAAACUUGACAAGUACUAUAGCCAUUCAGAAGAAUCUUAUGGAUUAGUUGGCAUAUGAACCCUGUGAUUGCCUUGUUGGUUCAAAAAAUGUGGUAUGCACAGUCUUCUUUGCCUGGAUAGUUAUAUAUUUUUCAGGAAAUUUGUUAUGUUGUAGGGGCUGAUGCACAUGGGAAUAUGUUUCUAUCUAAUUAAAAUUUCCCGGUCACUUUUAGUGAUGAGGUUACUUUUAGUGAUGAGGUAACACCAUGUUUUUCCAAGGAAAAGUGUCAAUAGUUGGAUGUGUAUUCAUAGCUAUGGUAAAAUUUAUUUGUGAUAAUCAGGUUAUUGUGUCAAGAUGGUGUGUAGUUUUGAGCUGACAUGUUACCAUACCAUUAUCCUUUUUCCAAUGGUGAGGUGAAUCGUAGGUUGAACUGAACAGGACUAUCACAAAAUUACUUGAAAAUAUAUAUUCUACUACGACAUUACGAUCAAGCAUUCAGUGAUUAUUUCAGGUAGAAGUUAGGAAUUCCAAUGGUGCAUGCGCAUAUAAUUAAGUUGUUUUUCACUAUUUUAAAUUGAGGACUAUUGAGGACCAUUCUUCUUGUUUUCAGUUUUCCCUUCGUUGUCUUUUUAAUUGUACCUCAUAAGGUUUCACUUGUUUAUUGAAAAAGAUGCUACUUAUUGCUGUGUUUUUUUGUUUUUCAUUUCCAUGCACCAUUUGUACUUGGGAUUUUUAAACCGUUGUCAACAUAAAAUUUUAAUAGUUUUCGACCCUUUUGUUUGAGGAACCUUUUUCCUAUAAGUUCCACCAACUUCCACGGAGAGGUUUUAGAUGAGGCCUCCAUUAUUGUCAUUAGAAUGUCAACCCUUAUUAUAUAUGGGUUAGACAUUAAUAUGGUAGUAAAUAUGCUUGUUAUUCAUACGAGUGUCAGACAUUUUGUAAUAUAUUGACUACAACGAAUGCAUCAUUUGCUUCAGCCUUGAAACUUAGCAGUGUUAUCCCAACAAUUUUGUGUCCCACAAUUUUACACCUCUAAGAGCAUGGGCACGCAUAGCGUACGCUUAGAUUCAACUAGUAUAACUGUAGUUUAUGGGUUCUCUAAUUUGAGUUUAAAAUAUAAGAAAUUGCUAUAAGUAUGUUUAUGGGUUCUCACCAAUAGGGACUUCAAUUCCCUCUCGCGGCUGAGGAUAGCAAUAGGCGCUGCUGCGAGGAUGGAGCGGGGAUCUCUCCCUCACCCCUCCCUAACCCAACACCCUUCCCCAAUGCCCAGCUACCCAUGCGUCUGCCCGAGUCCCCAUUCCACUGCUGCGAGGCAGUCCCAGUGUCAAACAUUGCUUGGCACUUUUGGCGGAUUAUUUUAGCUUUAGUAUUGUAAUAUAAUUGUUAAUCAUUACUCAUUAAUGUACAAAAUUAAGGGAGACAAUGUAAUGAAAUAGACUUCUUGUCGUGCCCCAUUUUUAAAAAAAAAAAAAAAAAGUGGAAUGAAAAUGACUCUUGAUUUUAGACGAUAAAGGGAAAGGGGGGCUAAAGUGGGACUUAAAAAAUGUGAUGGAUUGAACCCAAAAGAUAGUUUAAAAAGGAUUUUUGAGAAAAAUGGAGUUGCCAAUUGGUAUUAAAUUUAGGUGUACCAAGUCACUUAAAAAGGUUUUUAGUAAAAAAAUGAAAAACUCCGUUCUAGACGACUUCAUGUUUUUGAAAAUGAGAGAAGAUGUGUUUGAGAGUGAUGAUUGAAAAAUGGGAAGGCAAAAUUUUGAUUGGCUCCAAUCUAAGGUCCUCUGACCUAAUUUAAGUCUAGGCUAAUUUUUCUAAAGUAACUCGUGAACUUAUUGCAUUUAGAUACAUCUACAUGGAUGCAAAUCUAUACUUAGGAGGUUUUCGGGAGGGAUGAAAUAUUCCUUCAAAAUCUAAUUAGUACCAAUGCAUUAAUUUUGAAGUUCAAUAACGAUCCCUUGAAGGAGGCACGAGUAUGCAAAAUGUGACUCGAGCAAAAGAAAAUGGCACGAGUAUGCAAAAUGUGACUCGAGCAAAAGAAAAUUGCAACUUGCGUAUAUAGAUAUAAUGUCCAAAGAAAAGUAAUGCUACAUUAAUGGGUACAAUAAACUAAGACUCGUGAUACAAUUUUCUUUUUUGUUGAGAAUCAAUGGGGUGUUACGGCUGAAAAGACAUAAUCGCUAUUUUCAUACACAAAGUGUGACCUUUCUAAUCUAAACAAGCAAUUGAGCUAUUUAAUUCCUUAAUUCCUAAAUGGGAUGUAAUUCUAAGUGAAAUUGUUUGAACAUACAUGGGAUAGAGGUAUAAAAUAGAGGGAAAUAACAUGCAAAUGAGAAAAGAUCCUAAAAAUAUGCAUGAAAAUGAAAUGAAUGGCAUAUAAUACAUAAAUCUAGCAUGCAAAAGGGUCUAUGGGUUUAACAUUGGAUUAAUCCAUUUUUACAAAUUCUCACUAAUAUCGUACUACUAAGGAAAUUAAAUGAGGAAAGAGUCACAACUAGUAUUGAAUUAGUGUGGUGAUAUCAACCAUCAUUUAUAAUAAAAUAAGUAAAGCGUAAAUUAAAACAAAUAAACACAUAAAAGCACAUAUAACAUAUAACAUAUAAACAUAAUAUCUAGAUACAAAAGUUCUAAGAACACAUAAGCCACACCAGAAAUACAAAACCUAUAUAUUAUAUUGGAGUACACAACUACAAUCUAAAGAUGAAAAAAAAAAAGAAAA